AGAGUUUGAUCCUGGCUCAGGACGAACGCUGGCGGCGUGCCUAACACAUGCAAGUCGAACGGUCCAGUACUUGACACCGAGUGUUUUUGAACUCGAGUGUCGGGGAAAGCGAGAGCGCGAAGAAUGAGCGCUCCAGGCAUUAAAUAAGUACCAACACAUUCAGGAGAGAACUUUCGGUGUUGAGUACUGGAUAGUGGCGGACGGGUGAGUAACGCGUGGGCAACCUCCCCCUUAAACCGGGACAACCCUUGGAAACGAGGGCUAAUACCGGAUACGCUUUUCUGAGGGCAUCCUCGGGAAAGGAAAGGCGGCCUCUGAAGAUGCUGCCGAUAAGGGAUGGACCCGCGUCUGAUUAGCUGGUUGGUGGGGUAAAGGCCUACCAAGGCGACGAUCAGUAGCCGGCCUGAGAGGGUGAACGGCCACACUGGGACUGAGACACGGCCCAGACUCCUACGGGAGGCAGCAGUGGGGAAUCUUCCGCAAUGGACGAAAGUCUGACGGAGCAACGCCGCGUGUAUGACGAAGGCCUUCGGGUUGUAAAGUACUGUCUUUAGGGACGAACGGUAUCUAUGUGAACAAUGUAGGUACAUGACGGUACCUAAGGAGGAAGCCCCGGCUAACUACGUGCCAGCAGCCGCGGUAAUA
rnacentral:rRNA from 1 species